GGGGGAAAAUUAAUAAGUUAUAUUAUAAUAAAAAAAUUUUUAAAUAAAAAUAAUAUUUAAGGGGUUAAAGUAUUUUUAUUGAAAAAAUUAAAUAAUUUAUAGUGAAUUAGUAUUGUGGGAGAAUUUUUAAAUAUAAUGAAAUAAUAAAUUAAAUGUAAGUAAUUUUAAUUUAGUGUAUCUUGUGUAUCAGAGUUUAUUAAAAAAAAUCUUUAUAAAAAAAAAUCUCGAAUUUACAAGAGUUAAUUCAUUAAUAAAGUUAUUGUGGCAUAAAUAUUUUUUAUAAUUAAUUUGAAAUGAAAUUUAAUCGUUUUUAAAUAUAUCUAGUUUUUUUAGAAAAAAAUUUAAUUUUUUAUUAUUUUUAUAAAUGAAUUAAUUAAUUAAUUCAUUUAUAAAAAUAAUUUUAUAUUUUAAGGGAUAAGCUUUAAUUUAUAUUUAUAUAAAUUUAAAUGAAAAAUUUAAUUGAAAUUUAUAUAAUUUAUAUUGUUAAAAAAUUUUAAUUUAUUAUAAAUAAUUUCAUUUAAAAUAAAAUUUAAAAAAAUUUUAUAUUUUUAUAAGAAAAAAUUUUUUAAUUUAAAAUAAUUUGAUAUAAUGAUAAAAUUAGUAUAUAAAAUUAUAAAAAAUUUAUUAUUUUUGAAAAAAUUAAUUAAAAGGAAUUCGGCAAAAAUAUAUAUCCCCUUGUUUAUCAAAAACAUGUUUUUUUGAAAAUAAUUUAAAGUUUAAUUUGCCCCCUGAUAAAAUUAAAGGGCUGCAGUAAUUUGACUGUACAAAGGUAGCAUAAUCAUUAGUCAUUUAAUUGAUGACUUGUAUGAAAGAUUGGAUGAGAUAUAAACUGUUUUUUAAUUAUAUAAUAGAAUUUAAUUUUUUAAUUAAAAAGUUAAAAUAAUUUAAAAAGACGAGAAGACCCUAUAGAGUUUUAUAAUUUUUUUAUUUAAAAUUUUUUGGUUUAUUUAAAAUUAAGAUUAAAUAAAUUAUUUUGUUGGGGUGACAAAAAAAUAAAUAAAACUUUUUUUUUAUAAAAAACAUAUAUAAGUGAAUAUUUGAUCCAAUAAUAUUGAUUAUAAGAAAAAAUUACCUUAGGGAUAACAGCGUAAUUUUUUUUUUUAGUUCAUAUAAAAAAAAGAGUUUGCGACCUCGAUGUUGGAUUAAAAUAAAAUUUAAAUGCAAAAGUUUAAAAUUUUUGAUCUGUUCGAUCAUUAAAAUCUUACAUGAUCUGAGUUCAAACCGGUGUAAGCCAGGUUGGUUUCUAUCUUUUAUAAUAUAAAAUAUUUUAGUACGAAAGGAUUAAAUAUUUAAAUUAAAUUUAUAUUAAAAGAAUAUUAUUAAUUUUUAAUUAUAUAAAUAGAUAAUUAUAAUAUAUAUAUAU
rnacentral:rRNA from 1 species